UCUACGGGAGGCAGCAGUGAGGAAUAUUGGUCAAUGGCCGGAAGGCUGAACCAGCCAUGCCGCGUGAAGGUCAGUGCCCUAUGGGCGUUAAACUUCUUUUGUGCGGGAGCAAUAAUGGUCACGUGUGGCCAGACGAGAGUACCGUACGAAUAAGCAUCGGCUAACUCCGGGCCAGCAGCCGCGGUAAUCCGGGGGAUGCAAGCGUUAUACGGAUUUAUUUGGUUUAAAGGGGGCGUAGGCUGUGAGGUAAGCCAGCGGUGAAAUGCCCCCGCUCAACGGGGUGAAGUGCCAUUGAUACUGCCUUGCUGGAAUGCGGAUGCCGUGGGAGGAAUGUGUGGUGUAGCGGUGAAAUGCAUAGAUAUCACACAGAACACCGAUUGCGAAGGCAUCUCACGAAUCCGCGAUUGACGCUGAUGCACGAAAGCGUGGGUAUCAAACAGGAUUAGAUACCCCGGUAGUC
rnacentral:rRNA from 1 species